UAGGGAAUCUUCGGCAAUGGGGGGAACCCUGACCGAGCAACGCCGCGUGAGUGAAGAAGGUUUUCGGAUCGUAAAGCUCUGUUGUUAAGGAAGUACGAGUGUGAGAAUGGAAAGUUCAUACUGUGACGGUACUUAACCAGAAAGGGACGGCUAACUACGUGCCAGCAGCCGCGGUAAUACGUAGGUCCCGAGCGUUGUCCGGAUUUAUUGGGCGUAAAGCGAGCGCAGGCGGUUAGAUAAGUCUGAAGUGAAAGGCAGUGGCUCAACCAUUGUAGGCUUUGGAAACUGUUUAACUUGAGUGCAGAAGGGGAGAGUGGAAUUCCAUGUGUAGCGGUGAAAUGCGUAGAUAUAUGGAGGAACACCGGUGGCGAAAGCGGCUCUCUGGUCUGUAACUGACGCUGAGGCUCGAAAGCGUGGGGAGCGAACAGG
rnacentral:rRNA from 1 species